ensembl:lncRNA
GCUCCAGCAAGCGGGAGGGACGCGUCCAGUGCAUUCGCGAGAUCCAGCUGCCGGUCCCUGGAAUCUACUCGCGCAAGGCAGCGGCUGCACCGACGGCCCGAGGUUCCCGGUCAGCGGGCUGCGGAGUAUCGUGCGGGUAGCAAGGGGAGGGCGAGUGCUCCUGCGGCCCCCAGACGACAGCCAGGACACUCCAAUUCCCCAAAACUCUGUCUUCACCCACCAUCGACAACAAAUAACUUGAACUGUCACUUCCCAGGCUGUACCAUCCAUAGGGAAACUAGACUGUCCUGUUGGUCCUCGAUAUGCCUCAGUGUCACCUGAGAGCAGUAAGUCUCAACUCAUCAGACCCAAUGUACCUUUUACUCUCCUGAAAUGGGAUUCACUACUAAUGGAACCCACCUACACAGUUCUCAAAAAUCAAGAUAAUGCACUAAUUUCAACGUAAAAGGAAUAUAUCAAAUGAUUUUUUCUGCAUCAAUUGAACUAAUCUUAUGACUUUUAUCCUUUAGACCAUUUAUAUAUUGACUUUUGAUAUUGAACCAUAACAUCCUUAUAUUCCUGGGGUAAACUCUACCUGGUUAUAAUCUAUACCUUUGAAUAUACUGUUAAUGUCUGUUGGCUAACAUUUUAUUGGGGAUUUUCAUUUCAUAAAUGAAACAGCCCUAGAAUUUUCUUUUCUUUGGUUCUCCUUAUCUGGUUUUGCAAUCUAGGUUGCACUAAGCUCAAAAAAUUAAAUGGAUAGGUUUCACUCUUUUGUUAUUAUGCAUAAGACUGGAAACUUGAAAGUUUGCUACAGCUCACCUAUAAAAUCAACUAGGGUUUUGAAGGAGGAGAGUUCCUUGACUACCAUUUCAGUUUCCUUAAUACUUGCUGGGCUAUUCAAGACCUUUCUUUUGUGCCUAUUUUAGCAUGUUAUAUUUUUCUAAGAAUGUAUCCUUUUCAUCCAGAUUUUCAAAUUCAUUGGCAUAUCAUUCAUAAUUCGUCUUUUAAAAGAACUGAAUUCUGCAUUUUGCUUUUGUAUUUUUCUCCCCCUUCCCCCUUUUUUUCUUGAUCACUCUUGUCAGAGGUCUGUCUCCCUUAUGAGUCUUUUCAAAAACCAGUUUUGGUUUGGUCAAUUUUCACUAUUGUCUGUUGUUCUCUAUGUCGUUUAUUUCUGCCUUAUCAUUAUCAUUUCUUUCUUAUUUCUUUGAAUUUAGUAAUAUAAACAGUGUGGCACUGGCACAAAAAUAGAAAAGUAGACCAAUAGAACAGCAUAGAUACAGACCUGUGAAUAUAAAGGAACCUAGUGUAUAACAGAUCAAUGGAGAAAAGACAGUUGCUUCAGUUGAUGGUGUUGAAAAAACUGACUCUUGACUUGGAGAAAAAUAAAACCAGACCCCUGCCUCACACCAUGUAAAAAAAUGGACUCUAGAUAGAGGACCUAAAUGUGAAAGAUAAAGAGAAAUUGUAGGAGGAUAUCUUUGUGACCUAGGGGCUUGGAAUGACUUAUUAGAUAAAACUGCAAGACUAUAACGCAUAUGGUAAAGAGUUGAUUGAUUCGAUUACAUCAAAAUUAAGGAUUUGUGCUUGAUGAAAGACACUAUGGACAAAGGUAAGAGAUAACCUACAAAUUGGGAGAAGGUAUUUGCAAUGUCUAAAUCAACAAGGGAUUUGAUAUCUAGAGUAUCCAAAGGCUUCCUGUGGAUCAACAAAAAAGAGACCACCACCACCAGUUGGGCAAAGCAUUAGAACAGACAGUUUGCAGAAGAAGAAAUUUGAAAAACCAACAGCAUAUAUGAUGAGGUAUUCAAGAUCAUUGGAAAUCUGAGAAGUUAAAAUAACCGUGAGAUAUAACUUUACAUUUAUGAGACUGACAAAAUUAGAAAGCAGGAUAAUGCCAAGUGCUGGUGAGGCUCUAAGGACCUAUAAACCCACCUGUGUGGCUGGUGGGAGUGUGGACUUGGGCAGCCAUUCUGAAGGCUGUCUGGCAGUACCUUGCCAAAUGAAAUAUGCAUAUACUGUAUGACCCAACAGUUCUGCCCCUGAGUAUAAUAAAUCUUAGGGAAAUACACACAUAUAUAAGGGGACAUAUGUGAGGGUGUUCAUCACAGCAUUAAACCCAAAAAGAAAAGGCAAAAAACUAAGCGUAUGUCUCUUCAAAUGAGAAGCUUCCAAGGGCAAAAAUACAAGCCUUCACUCUUUAAAGUGGAUUUUCCCAGCACAUGUGUCCAGGAACCCUACAGUGCUGCAAAUCAGUUCCACGGGUGGGAGUUAUUGAUAGCUGUAACUUUAAAAAUAAUGACAAAUGUUUUAAAAAUAUCUCUAACAUUUACAACUGGUUUUUUUAAACCGGUUUUAAAAUACUUUGAAACUAAAUUUGAACAGUACAGUACUCGUGUGGUUUUCUCUGUGAACUUCUAGAUCCCAUGAUUAUUAUGCUGCCAGGAAAGACUCCAUGCGUAGCUUCCACCAUCAGAGAGCGGCUCUAUGCAGGCUGCACUAUGCAACACUCCUCUGACCUUCUCUGGGAAUCGUUCCACUUAAUAUGAUUUUUACUUUGCUCCUGCUCAUCAAGAUAAUUUGUUUUGUGUGCAUAAGUGUAAUAUUUAAAUUUUUAUUAGAUUCAAUCUGGGGUUUUAAUUUUUUUACAUUUUUUUCUAGUAAUACAGAAGUUAUGGAAGUUAUAUCUUAUCAGAAUCAUCAGCAUCUAUUAGUAGGUGCUGCUAUAAGGAACAUCAUUAAUUUUGUUUAUUUUCUCUGUUGUUAUCUCCCAUUCUCUCUUUCCCCUCUCUCCCUACCUUCUUUCCUUCCUUUCUUCCUUCCUCCGUCCCUUCUCUUAUUCUUUAUUUCUCUCUCUCUCUGCUUUCUCUCUGUCACUCUCUCUCCCCAAUUUCUCUUUUUCCCCAUCUCUUUGUAUUACUGGAUUUUGAUGUUAACAAUGAACCAAAUGCUGAUUUUUGAUGGAAUUUCAUUCUGGGUUAUCAUUUACUUUUAGAAAAAAAUAUGAAAACAUAAUAAUGGGAUUAUUUAAUUAAGUCAGAAUGGGCUGUUAUAGGCCCUUAUCACUUCAAAAACGCUGUUAUUCAAAAUAUGUUCAUAUGUGAGUAUAAGUAAUAUUUAUUUUGAAUAUUUAAAAGUUUUAGAAUUUUCAUUAUGAAGUUAACCAAAAAUUAAUAUUUCAUUUACCACAUGUGGAUUUUUUAAAUGUCAGUGAAGUUCAUUUUAAGUACUCUUCAUGCAUCCUAAUAUUAAAUAUCAUUUUUGAGAACCUAACAUAUAAAUAGAUUUAAUUUA